rnacentral:rRNA from 1 species
UACGUAGGGGGCAAGCGUUGUCCGGAAUUAUUGGGCGUAAAGAGCGCGUAGGCGGUCCGGUAAGUCGGUUGUGAAAGUCGGGGGCUCAACCCUCGGAUGCCGAUCGAUACUGUCGGGCUAGAGUCCGGAAGAGGCGAGUGGAAUUCCUGGUGUAGCGGUGAAAUGCGCAGAUAUCAGGAGGAACACCAAUGGCGAAGGCAGCUCGCUGGGACGGUACUGGCGCUGAGACGCGAAAGCGUGGGGAGCGAACAGG